rnacentral:tRNA from 1 species
GAGGGUGUAGCUCAGUGGUAGAGUGUGUGCCUAGCAUGCACAAAGUCCUGGAUUCAAUUCCCAGGACCUACA